CUUACGGUUUUGUACACUUCAUGUUUGAGGUUAUGAUUUUAUCUAUUUUAAAAAAUGUUUAGCUUCGGAGCAUCACGAGGGAUUUAUUAGUUUACUUUGAUGUGCGGUUUUGUAUUUUAGAUUCAGAACGGAGCGAAGAAGCUUAUGGUUUUAUAGAGAUUAAGCGAACCAAAAUUUCUAAAAGGAAAUCGGACUGGGAAGGUAUUUUAGUGAGGUGGUUUUUUGAUUUUACCAAGAGUUUUCACAGAAAAUGUGAAACACCACCGGGAAAAAACAUGGACAAAUUGGUACAAUAUUAAACAAAUUUAAUUUAAAAAAAUAUAUAAU